rnacentral:rRNA from 1 species
GUUUGUUCUCGGGUCAGAGUGUACGCUGGGGGCAGACSUAACACACACAAAUSGAACGGUAGCACAGAGGAACCUGCUCCUUGGGUGACGAGUGGCGGACGGGUGAGUAAUGUCUGGGAAACUGCCCGAUGGAGGGGGAUAACUACUGGAAACGGUAGCUAAUACCGCAUAACGUCGCAAGACCAAAGAGGGGGACCUUCGGGCCUCUUGCCAUCGGAUGUGCCCAGAUGGGAUUAGCUAGUUGGUGAGGUAAUGGCUCACCAAGGCGACGAUCCCUAGCUGGUCUGAGAGGAUGACCAGCCACACUGGAACUGAGACACGGUCCAGACUCCUACGGGAGGCAGCAGUGGGGAAUAUUGCACAAUGGGCGCAAGCCUGAUGCAGCCAUGCCGCGUGUGUGAAGAAGGCCUUCGGGUUGUAAAGCACUUUCAGCGGGGAGGAAGGCAAUACGGUUAAUAACCGUGUUGAUGAAGUAC